rnacentral:rRNA from 1 species
ACGGGAGGCGGCAGUGGGGAAUAUUGCACAAUGGGGGAAACCCUGAUGCAGCGACGCCGCGUGAAGGAAGAAGUAUCUCGGUAUGUAAACUUCUAUCAGCAGGGAAGAUAAUGACGGUACCUGACUAAGAAGCCCCGGCUAACUACGUGCCAGCAGCCGCGGUAAUACGUAGGGGGCAAGCGUUAUCCGGAUUUACUGGGUGUAAAGGGAGCGUAGACGGAACGGCAAGUCUGAUGUGAAAGGCAGGGGCUCAACUCCUGGACUGCAUUGGAAACUGUUAGUCUUGAGUGUCGGAGAGGUAAGCGGAAUUCCUAGUGUAGCGGUGAAAUGCGUAGAUAUUAGGAGGAACACCAGUGGCGAAGGCGGCUUACUGGACGAUAACUGACGUUGAGGCUCGAAAGCGUGGGGAGCAAACAGGAUUAGAUACCCUGGUA